rnacentral:rRNA from 1 species
UACGUAGGGUGCGAGCGUUGUCCGGAAUUAUUGGGCGUAAAGGGCUCGUAGGCGGUUUGUCGCGUCGGGAGUGAAAUCCACCGGCUUAACUGGUGGCUUGCUUUCGAUACGGGCAGACUGGAGGUAUGCAGGGGAGAACGGAAUUCCUGGUGUAGCGGUGAAAUGCGCAGAUAUCAGGAGGAACACCGGUGGCGAAGGCGGGUCUCUGGGCCGAUACUGACGCUGAGGAGCGAAAGCGUGGGGAGCGAACAGG